CCAAGAGGAGCUCUGUGUAAUAUCUGCACCCAAUGUUGGUGUCAGAUCCUAAACUCAGAAAAUAGAGCUUUUCUAGCUCUAAGAGCUCUGCUUAUGACUCUCGGGUGAGGGUCACAUGGAAGAGCACCUCUUUGUCCUGCCAGAGGGGAAGGAAUGCCCCUGGUUCAGCUUUUUGCUUUAUGUGCCAGUAGUACCACCAGCCCUCAGAGCAGCAUGCUGUAAAGGAAAAAAGGAGGUGAUCAGAACUAGCAGCGUCCAUAUUAGUUGGUUGUUUCUAUGUAAAAUUUUUUCCCAUGUCACCAUGUUCACAGUCCAGAAGAGAGGAGGAUUCACUUUGUUCGACUCUUUGCUCUCCAUUGACUACAGACACCAGGAAAUGCGCGAUUUUUUUUUUUUCCCUCAGAUGACACGCUUUCCUCAAGCUGAUCUUUCGUGAUAAGACAUUGUGCUGAUCCAGGAUGGAGGCAGAGACUACUGAACCUUGCAGCCACUGGGCUAGCUGAGCACUUUGCCUACCUGGAAGGCUGAAUCCAGACAGCAUUGCCUUGACUCAGUUAGUGCUCAGGCUGGCUGAUGUAAAGGGAUUUGAGGAUCCACAAAUUGAGCCAUGCUUAGACAAACUGUGUAGAUGUGCCCAUUCAAUAAUCAUGUGUGGGAGCUUUGCCUUGGAAUUGCAUAAGUAACUUUUCGGCAUACAUCUUCCUUAUUGCUAGUCAAGAGGACUUUGCUUACUAUGGGUGGGCACAUUGGUAAGAAAAGAGUGAAAGAGGAAGCUGGAAGACAGUUGGCCUUCUUUUGCUAUCUUGCACCAAGGCCAACUGCUACAUAACACACCCAGAAAUCACAUUUGUUGCUGUUGCUGGGCCAUCAUGCUGCUCCUCACCUACUUCAGCAGCCUGUUGAAUCCCACGCAUUACAGAAGUUGCUGUUGUCACUUCUAUGCCCCACACAAGACAGCAAAGAGAAUUUGCUACAGCUGGCUGUGUGUCCCCACAGGACAGUUAGUCUCUUUUAAUACCUCAUGAAAGAGCAUGAGCACAGGAC